rnacentral:lncRNA from 1 species
CAUCUUGUCCCUGCAACACCGCGAAUCCUGGCUCAAAUCUUUCCCCUUUCAUCUUUACAAUUGAAACCCCUCAAUCAGAACCCUAGACCUAAAGUAUGACCUAGGAGUUUCAUCUGUGUUUGGUCCGAUCAUUCAAAUCAGAGCAUGCGUGACUGAUUCUUCAAUCUCAUUAUCAUUAUUCUUUGUCCAGAGGCCAAACACAUUGAUCUAUGGAUAUAAGAUUUUAACCGAUGGUCCGAUGACUUCAACGGUCUUCCUCAUCUAUCCCCAUGCCAGGUAAAAGACUUCAUCAUUUUUCCCUUUGUUCUUCUCUGAUUUUACUAUUGCUAUCGUCCACCCAUCACCAUCUACUAACUAUUUGAAUUCGUCCAAACCCUAAGUGGAACGAAUGUCUCUAUAAUUAGGGCAUUCAACGUUCACACCAACACACACCGAACACGAUUAGAAAUAUACUAAAUGAUACAAAGAAGAGCAUUAAAUUUGAGGUUUCCUUCUAAGGUCAGUAGCCCCCCUCUAAUUUCUCCUUCUUUGUUUUUAAUUUUCUUUUCGAGUUCAAUCUAUGUGAGUAGAUCAUUGUUGGUUUGGAUUCCUGAAUGGCUAACAAUCAACAUUUACUUGAUUUGCUACUCUAUAGAAGGUCACUGACCCCCUCCUUAACUUACUUUAAUUGUGUGGUCCUAUGUUCAUAAUAGUUUCUUUGUUAAUCGUCUGUUGCUUAUGAUAUAUAUUAUACUUGUUAUGCCCUUCCUUUGAAUACUAUCCUUAUUGUUAUGUUAGAUAUCUUCUUAUUAAGCUAUGUUAUUUUGGUACUGUUAUCAAACAUGUAUUAUCAAUGAACUUUAUCUCUCAUGACUUAGCUAGUUAAAAGUGUUCUGUAUUAAUGUUCUCUCAUGACUAAAUCCUAUUAAGUCUUCAUGAUUAAAUAGACUAAACCUUAUGAAUGAUACUAUGUGAUGACUCAUCCCUAAAAAUCAAAAAUAUAUGAACACUGUCAUGUCUACUAAUUCAGUUGAAUCAUGCCUUUGAAUCCUUUUGAGGUUCUGCUAAGACUUCAUAUCUUAAUUAAUAUGUUGCCUUAUUCUUCAUGCCUAUGAAGUUUUGUUGCUUUGUCUUGGUUCAAUGAGUGAUUCUAAUUUGAACUCUUAAGUCUAAUCUGUUGGCUUUGAUGACUUUAGUUGAUAGUCUUGUUCUGUGCACUUAGUGACUCAUACAAGUCUAUCAUUGUGGCUUGAAAUCAUGAGAUGAACCUGAAACUCACUUGCUGUGUUUUGAUUUUCCAUGUCACUCUACUAUCUUGUGACUAUGUAUUCUGUAGGAGUGGCUAUCUAAAAUCUUUAUUGUUGUGAUGGUUGAAUGAUGCUUAUUGACUGCUAUGCUUGUGUCCACACUCAUCAUACUACUUCUGCUAGUCCAAUGAUGUUUAUGAACCCUUCCUAUGCCCUUAGCUUGAGAAAAUUUUAUGCUUGGAACACUAUGUUUCCUGCUAAGAUUUCUUAUCAUUAUAACUUGUGUAAGAAUUCUUAACUCACUUGUGAUUAUAUUAAUUAUGUCUUCGUUUUUGGUAAUUGGAUUAUGAAUUUUAAAGAGAAAUUGUGGGUUUUAGCCUAAAGUUUCAUAGAGUGAGUUUUUGAGUUUUGAACAUCGAUUCGGAGUCGAGUUUGGGUGAAACUAGUAUGGUUGGUCUCGUAAUUGAAUGGGUUGUCAGAUUUUAUAAGUUUCGUUAAGUUUCGAGGAGCAAACCCGUGUUGGACUUUUGGGAUUUUGAUUAAAGAUUUGAUCUUUAUCGAUUGGAAUUGCUUCCUUAGUCUCUUUUUGAUGUAUUUGAGUUGCUUUUGGCUAGUUUCGAGCCGUUCAAAGGUCGGUACGUGCGGGAUGGAAUUUUUGAAGCAUCGCUUGGCUUUCUCGAUAGUUGGUUUGCCUCGUUCGAGGUAAUUAAGACUUCUAAACUUGGAGGUGAGGGUAUGAACCUUGAUUAUACGUGUUAUAUUUUUGGUGUGAGGUGACGCACAUGCUAGGUGACGGGCGUGUGGACGUGCACUGUGUGAAUUGUGACUCGGUUAUUUAUGUGGUACUGUGUAGUUACCUAAUCUUAUUUAUAUCUAUGGAAUCUCUACGUGCUAGAGUAAUUGAGUUGUGAUCCAUGUUAGAAAUCAUGUCUAGGCUAUAUGCUUAUCCUGUUGGGACCCACUGAGGUCAUUUCUACUGUUGAGUUAUUUUCCUACAUUGCAAUUACAUACUCAGGCAUACACAUUCAUUUUCAUAUAAUAUCUCAGUCUCUGUUACCAUUUAUUGAUACAUCACAUCAUCAUUUUGGACUGAUUUUCAUGACAUUGUGAGCUCGAGAGACUGGAGAGAUUGAUGGGAUCGGGCUGCAAUCCGCAACAUGUUUUAUUGAUUUAUGCCAUGAUUGGCUUGUUAUAGAGCUUGGGCUAAAGGAGCCCCUCCGGAGUCUGUACACACCCUAGUGAGCGCAGGUACCUACCGAGUGCUAGUGCCGAGUGUGAGUGCCUAGUGACUGGGAGGAUUGAGUGAAUUGAUACUCUGAGAGUAUGCAUAUGGUUUUAUCACCGAGUUGCAUUGCAUUCGACAUGCACACAUGACAUAUAAGCAUAGAGAUGCAUUUUCCUCAUGUUGUAUUACAUUGCGUCAUUCAUGACUUCACAUACAUAUUGACUUGUAGGCAUAGAGAAGUACUUUCCUCAUUCCAUUUGAAAAUGAAAGAUUUACCUAUAGAAUGUUUUGGAAAAAAUUAUAGUUUUACAAACGUACUCGUAUUUUGGUAAUUUCGGUGAAAGAUUUGGAAUUUACUGUUAUACUUGAAAAGCAUGCCAAUUUUCCGAAACUGUGAAUGGGUUGAGCACUAUAUCUUUGUUUUACUUAUUUUAUCACUUUUAUUAUGUUGUUAUGAACUGUUGUUGGCUAUUGGUGUUGGACUCCGACCUUUGUUCCAGCUCGUCACUACUUUCAACCUAAGGUUAGGUUUGUUAAUUAUUGAGUACAUGGGGUCUGUUGUACUCAUACUACACUUUUGCACCUUGCGUGCAAAUGUUAGAUGCUAAUGUUUCUAUGCACGGCGGAAGCUGGAUUUGAAGAUGUACCUGUGUUCCGGUCAUAGCUGCCUCUUGAUCUUGGUAGCUUUAGAAUUUUAAUCUGUUCAUGUAUAUUUCAAACAGAUGAUGUACUUUAUUUCAUACCAACUUUGUAAACUCUAAAUCUU